CACAGAAAAUGGGUGAGAGGCUGGCAUGGUAGCCGUCCACCCCAGCCGGCCUCGGGUUGAUGACUGAGGGAGGCGCAGAGGGACUGAGCAGCCUGCCUGGAGGCCCAGAGGUGGGAAAACUGAGUCAAGAAAACGGAAAAGUCCUAAAGCCGUCUUAUUUGUGACCAGUUUGCAAGCGGCACCCGAAUUCCCUGAGACCCAGUCUUUGCUGCCAGUUUGGGUCUGUGAGUCUCUACUGUAGAAAACAGAUCUCUCCAGUGAGUUAGAAACUCAAGAAGGUCUCUUCUCUAUGUCUGCGUCUCCACUGCUGCCCUGCAAAUGGGUUUAAGAGAGUAUCUUUGAUCACCCAGAGGGUCCAGUAUAAUCACAGGGUCUCUGUAAGUGAAUGAUGGAGGCGGGAGGCUUAGCAUCAGAGGAGCUGUGACGAUGGAGGCGGAGGCUGAAGAGAUGCUCUUUGAAGAUGCAGGAAGGGACCGUGAAUCAAGAAAGGCACAUAGCCUCCAGAAGCUGGAAAAGCCAAGGAAGUGGGUUCUCCCCUAGAACCUCCAGAGGGGAUGUCUGACCUCUAGAACUGGAAAAUAAUAAAUUUGUUCUUUUUCAAGCCACUAA